UACGUAGGGUGCAAGCGUUGUCCGGAAUUAUUGGGCGUAAAGAGCUCGUAGGCGGCUUGUUGCGUCGACUGUCGAAAACCCGCGGCUUAACUGCGGGCUUGCAGUUGAUACGGGCAGGCUAGAGUUCGGUAGGGGAGACUGGAAUUCCGUGGUGAGCGGUGAAAUGCGCAGAUAUCAGGAGGAACACCGGUGGCGAAGGCGGGUCUCUGGGCCGUAACUGACGCUGGAGGAGCGAAAGCGUGGGGAGCGAACAGG
rnacentral:rRNA from 1 species